UUGAAGCUAAGGGCAUACAAAACUGUCUAACAUAAAGAACAUGAACGAUGAUAGCGAUUGUGUUGCAGCAAGGUUGGUAUCCCUUUUCCUUCUCCCUUCGGACCUGUACUUCGAGGAACAUUCUAAUGGGUUCGCAUUGUCAACUACCGUACCAGAAUGACUGCGAUAGUGCAUUGCCACUUCCAUGAGAUUGCGUCAUUGGAGCUGAUUCAAGCUUUCGAAUUGAAGCAGUAGUCCGCCGAGGCCUUGCAUACGCUGGAGUCCAGAAUAAGCCACUCUAACCCAUUUCUUAUAUAUUUACUUGUAAACUAUUUCUCGUCCACCUGUUCCUGAUUAUAUAUUCUUGACAGGUGAAGGGCGUGAGCGCAAAGGAGACUCGGAAGCGAUACGGAUGCGGAAGUUGUACAGGCACGAAGAAUGCUCGACUUGCGAGCAGGGUACAUAAUCUCUUGCGGAAAAACUGUAAGGAAGCCGAUCAACUCUUCGGUUUUUUGAUUUCUCGAGGCAUUGCUACUUUUGGCGAUCAGCUCACUGACUCCUGUGCUUCACCGUUGUUCCCUAUUUUUUAUAUCAAUGAGCUUGCAUCCGUUGAGUUGGUUCAAGCAUUCAAAUUGUAGCAACGAACAGCCAUGGCCUUGUUAGACAGUUUUGUAUGCCCUUAGCUUCA